rnacentral:rRNA from 1 species
GUAGGUGGCAAGCGUUGUCCGGAAUUAUUGGGCGUAAAGCGCGCGCAGGCGGUUCUUUAAGUCUGAUGUGAAAGCCCACGGCUCAACCGUGGAGGGUCAUUGGAAACUGGAGAACUUGAGUACAGAAGAGGAAAGCGGAAUUCCACGUGUAGCGGUGAAACGCGUAGAGAUGUGGAGGAACACCAGUGGCGAAGGCGGCUUUCUGGUCUGUAACUGACGCUGAGGCGCGAAAGCGUGGGGAGCAAACAGGGAUUAGAUACCCUGGUAGUCCACGCCGUAAACGAUGAGUGCUAAGUGUUAGGGGGUUUCCGCCCCCUUAGUGCUGCAGCUAACGCAUUAAGCACUCCGCCUGGGGAGUACGGCCGCAAGGCUG